rnacentral:rRNA from 1 species
UACGGGGGGAGCAAGCGUUGUUCGGAUUUACUGGGCGUAAAGGGCGCGUAGGCGGUCAGCACAAGUCAGUUGUGAAAUCUCCGGGCUUAACUCGGAAAGGUCAACUGAUACUGUGCGACUAGAGUGCGGAAGGGGCAACUGGAAUUCUUGGUGUAGCGGUGAAAUGCGUAGAUAUCAAGAGGAACACCUGCGGCGAAGGCGGGUUGCUGGGCCGACACUGACGCUGAUACGCGAAAGCGUGGGGAGCAAACAGG